CCGCCAUGAUGAUAAUGGACUGAGC
rnacentral:piRNA from 1 species